AGUUGUCUUCAGGGCAGGGUGAAAUUCCCGACCGGCGGUAAAGUCCGCGAGCGCAAAUUGCGCAGAAUUGGUGUAAUUCCAAUACCGACAGUACAGUCUGGAUGAAAGAAGAUGUGU
rnacentral:ncRNA from 2 species